GGUUAAGCGACUAAGCGUACACGGUGGAUGCCCUGGCAGUCAGAGGCGAUGAAGGACGUGCUAAUCUGCGAAAAGCGUCGGUAAGGUGAUAUGAACCGUUAUAGCCGGCGAUGUCCGAAUGGGGAAACCCAGUGCAAUUCGUUGCACUAUCGUUUGAUGAAUACAUAGUCAAACGAGGCGAACCGGGGGAACUGAAACAUCUAAGUACCCCGAGGAAAAGAAAUCAACCGAGAUUCCCCCAGUAGCGGCGAGCGAACGGGGAGCAGCCCGGAGUCUGAAUCAGCUUGUGUGUUAGUGGAAGCGUCUGGAAAGUCGCAGGGUACAGGGUGAUACUCCCGUACACUAAAACGCACAGGUUGUGAACUCGAAGAGUAGGGCGGGACACGUGGUAUCCUGUCUGAAUAUGGGGGGACCAUCCUCCAAGGCUAAAUACUCCUGACUGACCGAUAGUGAACCAGUACCGUGAGGGAAAGGCGAAAAGAACCCCGGCGAGGGGAGUGAAAAAGAACCUGAAACCGUGUACGUACAAGCAGUAGGAGCCUCUUUAUGGGGUGACUGCGUACCUUUUGUAUAAUGGGUCAGCGACUUAUAUUCUGUAGCAAGGUUAACCGUAUAGGGGAGCCGCAGGGAAACCGAGUCUUAACUGGGCGUUAAGUUGCAGGGUAUAGACCCGAAACCCGGUGAUCUAGCCAUGGGCAGGUUGAAGGUUGGGUAACACUAACUGGAGGACCGAACCGACUAAUGUUGAAAAAUUAGCGGAUGACUUGUGGCUGGGGGUGAAAGGCCAAUCAAACCGGGAGAUAGCUGGUUCUCCCCGAAAGCUAUUUAGGUAGCGCCUCGUGAACUCAUCUUCGGGGGUAGAGCACUGUUUCGGCUAGGGGGUCAUCCCGACUUACCAACCCGAUGCAAACUACGAAUACCGAAGAAUGUUAUCACGGGAGACACACGGCGGGUGCUAACGUCCGUCGUGAAGAGGGAAACAACCCAGACCGCCAGCUAAGGUCCCAAAGUCAUGGUUAAGUGGGAAACGAUGUGGGAAGGCCCAGACAGCCAGGAUGUUGGCUUAGAAGCAGCCAUCAUUUAAAGAAAGCGUAAUAGCUCACUGGUCGAGUCGGCCUGCGCGGAAGAUGUAACGGGGCUAAACCAUGCACCGAAGCUGCGGCAGCGACACUAUGUGUUGUUGGGUAGGGGAGCGUUCUGUAAGCCGUUGAAGGUGGCCUGUGAGGGUUGCUGGAGGUAUCAGAAGUGCGAAUGCUGACAUAAGUAACGAUAAUGCGGGUGAAAAACCCGCACGCCGGAAGACCAAGGGUUCCUGUCCAACGUUAAUCGGGGCAGGGUGAGUCGACCCCUAAGGCGAGGCCGAAAGGCGUAGUCGAUGGGAAACAGGUUAAUAUUCCUGUACUCGGUGUUACUGCGAAGGGGGGACGGAGAAGGCUAUGUUGGCCGGGCGACGGUUGUCCCGGUUUAAGCAUGUAGGCGGAUGUUCCAGGUAAAUCCGGAACGUUACUAACGCUGAGGUGUGAUGACGAGGCACUACGGUGCUGAAGUGACAAAUGCCCUGCUUCCAGGAAAAGCCUCUAAGCAUCAGGUAACAUCAAAUCGUACCCCAAACCGACACAGGUGGUCAGGUAGAGAAUACCAAGGCGCUUGAGAGAACUCGGGUGAAGGAACUAGGCAAAAUGGUGCCGUAACUUCGGGAGAAGGCACGCUGAUAUGUAGGUGAAGUGGUUUACCCAUGGAGCUGAAAUCAGUCGAAGAUACCAGCUGGCUGCAACUGUUUAUUAAAAACACAGCACUGUGCAAACACGAAAGUGGACGUAUACGGUGUGACGCCUGCCCGGUGCCGGAAGGUUAAUUGAUGGGGUUAUCCGUAAGGAGAAGCUCUUGAUCGAAGCCCCGGUAAACGGCGGCCGUAACUAUAACGGUCCUAAGGUAGCGAAAUUCCUUGUCGGGUAAGUUCCGACCUGCACGAAUGGCGUAAUGAUGGCCAGGCUGUCUCCACCCGAGACUCAGUGAAAUUGAACUCGCUGUGAAGAUGCAGUGUACCCGCGGCAAGACGGAAAGACCCCGUGAACCUUUACUAUAGCUUGACACUGAACACUGGUCCUUGAUGUGUAGGAUAGGUGGGAGGCUUUGAAGUGUGGACGCCAGUCUGCAUGGAGCCAUCCUUGAAAUACCACCCUUUAAUGGCUGGUGUUCUAACGUGGGCCCGUUAUCCGGGUUGCGGACAGUGUCUGGUGGGUAGUUUGACUGGGGCGGUCUCCUCCUAAAGAGUAACGGAGGAGCACGAAGGUCAGCUAAUCCUGGUCGGACAUCAGGAGGUUAGUGCAAUGGCAUAAGCUGGCUUGACUGCGAGCGUGACGGCGCGAGCAGGUGCGAAAGCAGGUCAUAGUGAUCCGGUGGUUCUGAAUGGAAGGGCCAUCGCUCAACGGAUAAAAGGUACUCCGGGGAUAACAGGCUGAUACCGCCCAAGAGUUCAUAUCGACGGCGGUGUUUGGCACCUCGAUGUCGGCUCAUCACAUCCUGGGGCUGAAGUAGGUCCCAAGGGUAUGGCUGUUCGCCAUUUAAAGUGGUACGCGAGCUGGGUUUAGAACGUCGUGAGACAGUUCGGUCCCUAUCUGCCGUGGGCGCUGGAGAAUUGAGGGGGGCUGCUCCUAGUACGAGAGGACCGGAGUGGACGCAUCACUGGUGUUCGGGUUGUCAUGCCAAUGGCAUUGCCCGGUAGCUAAAUGCGGAAGAGAUAAGUGCUGAAAGCAUCUAAGCACGAAACUUGCCCCGAGAUGAGUUCUCCCUGACUCCUUGAGAGUCCUGAAGGAACGUUGAAGACGACGACGUUGAUAGGCCGGGUGUGUAAGCGCAGCGAUGCGUUGAGCUAACCGGUACUAAUGAACCGUGAGGCUUAACCUU
rnacentral:rRNA from 1 species